GUUUACUUUGAAAAAAUUAGAGUGUUCAAACAGGCUGUUCGCCUGCAUAGUGUUGCAUGGAAUAAUGGAAUAGGACCUCGGUUCUAUUUUGUUGGUUUUCGGAGCACGAGGUAAUGAUUAAGAGGGACNGACGGNGCCGUCCGUNCUCUGCCGUUAGAGGUGAAAUUCUUGGAUCGGCGGAAGACGAACUACUGCGAAAGCAUUCGCCNAGAAUGUUUUCUUUNAUCNAGACGAAAGUCAGAGGUUCGAAGACGAUCAGAUACCGUCCUAGUUCUGACUAUAAACGAUGCCAACUAGCGAUCGGGAGGCGUUACCAUGACGACCUUUCCGNCAGCUUCCGGGAAACCAAAGUCUUUG
rnacentral:rRNA from 1 species